UACGGAGGGUGCAAGCGUUAUCCGGAUUCACUGGUUAAGGUGCGUAGGUGGCAGUAAGUCAGUGGUGAAAUCUCUGGGGGCUUAACCCCAGAAAACUGCCGUUUUGAUACUAUCUGUCUUGAAUAUAGUGGAGUGAGCGAAAAUAUGUCAUGUAGCGGUGAAAAUGCUUUUAGAUAUGACAUAGAAACACCCCAUUUUGCGAAAAGCAGCUCGCUACACUAUUUUAUUUUGAC
rnacentral:rRNA from 1 species